GAUGAACGCUGGCGGCGUGCCUAAUACAUGCAAGUCGAGCGAACAGAUGAGGAGCUUGCUCCUCUGACGUUAGCGGCGGACGGGUGAGUAACACGUGGAUAACCUACCUAUAAGACUGGGAUAACUUCGGGAAACCGGAGCUAAUACCGGAUAACAUAUUGAACCGCAUGGUUCAAUAGUGAAAGACGGUUUUGCUGUCACUUAUAGAUGGAUCCGCGCCGCAUUAGCUAGUUGGUAAGGUAACGGCUUACCAAGGCAACGAUGCGUAGCCGACCUGAGAGGGUGAUCGGCCACACUGGAACUGAGACACGGUCCAGACUCCUACGGGAGGCAGCAGUAGGGAAUCUUCCGCAAUGGGCGAAAGCCUGACGGAGCAACGCCGCGUGAGUGAUGAAGGUCUUCGGAUCGUAAAACUCUGUUAUUAGGGAAGAACAAAUGUGUAAGUAACUAUGCACGUCUUGACGGUACCUAAUCAGAAAGCCACGGCUAACUACG
rnacentral:rRNA from 1 species